ensembl:misc_RNA Metazoa_SRP Metazoan signal recognition particle RNA
GCUGGGCAUGGUGGCGCGUGCCUGUAAUCCCAGCUACUCAGGAGGCUGAGGCAGGAGAAUUGCUUGAACCCAGGAGGUGGAGGUUGCCGUGAGCCGAGAUCACGCCAUUGCACUCCAGCCUGGGUAACAAGAGUAAAACUCUGUCUCAA